rnacentral:rRNA from 2 species
CUUGGUCAUUUAGAGGAAGUAAAAGUCGUAACAAGGUUUCCGUAGGUGAACCUGCGGAAGGAUCAUUAGUGAACGCCCUCACGGGCUUAUAACUAUUCCAAACCUCUGUGAACCGUGCCCUUCGGGGCUAUUUUACAAACAUGGUGUAAUGAACGUCAUAUAUCAUAACAAAACAAAACUUUCAACAACGGAUCUCUUGGCUCUCGCAUCGAUGAAGAACGCAGCGAAAUGCGAUAAGUAAUGUGAAUUGCAGAAUUCAGUGAAUCAUCGAAUCUUUGAACGCACCUUGCGCCCUCUGGUAUUCCGGAGGGCAUGCCUGUUUGAGUGUCAUGUAGACUCAAUCCCUCGGGUUUCCGAGGAGAUUGGACUUGGGUGUUGCCGCUCUGCCGGCUCGCCUUAAAAGACUUAGCGGGAUAGCACCGUAGUCGGCGUAAUAAGUUUCGUCGGUGAAGGUUGUGAUGACUGCUUACAAUCGCCCUCGGGCAAUUUUUGACUCUGACCUCAGAUCAGGUAGGACUACCCGCUGAACUUAAGCAUAUCAAUAAGCGGAGGA